rnacentral:sRNA from 1 species
CCGAAACUGGCGCGGAGCAACUGAGGCCCGAGCCUUCUCGGGACCCGGGGGACGCCUAACCCCGCGAGAUGAGGAAACUGAGGCCGCGAGGAGCGCGCACACAGCAGAGAAGCAGCAGAAUCGGGAAUCAAACCCAGCUCUGUCUGACCCCAGAGCCUGUGCCCUUAACCACUGGCUAGGCUGAACUGCCUUUGUUCUUCACUGUCCCCAUCACCUCUUUCAAACCUCAGCCUCUCCUUCCUCAUCGUUACAUCUCUAGGCUGCACCUGGUCUCUAAACAUUCACACAACCCCUGCAAAUUUUCUUCCUCAUAAUUGGGAGAAGACUCACUGGCCGAAUGGCAGCAGUAGAUGACUUGCGAUUUGAAGUUACUUGCUGGACAGAAGAAAAGCUCCCCCUUCUGGACAUUUGAAUACUACCAAACAUUCUUUGAUGUGGACACCUACCAGGUCUUUGACAGAAUUAAAGGAUCUCUUUUGCCAAUACCCGGGAAAAACUUUGUGAGGUUAUAUAUCCGCAGCAAUCCAGAUCUCUAUGGCCCCUUUUGGAUAUGUGCCACGUUGGUCUUUGCCAUAGCAAUUAGUGGGAAUCUUUCCAACUUCUUGAUCCAUCUGGGAGAGAAGACGUACCAUUAUGUGCCCGAAUUCCGAAAAGUGUCCAUAGCAGCUACCAUCAUCUAUGCCUAUGCCUGGCUGGUUCCUCUCGCACUCUGGGGUUUCCUCAUGUGGAGAAACAGCAAAGUUAUGAACAUCGUCUCCUAUUCAUUUCUGGAGAUUGUGUGUGUCUAUGGAUAUUCCCUCUUCAUUUAUAUCCCCACCGCAAUACUGUGGAUUAUCCCCCAGAAAGCUGUUCGUUGGAUUCUAGUCAUGAUUGCCCUGGGCAUCUCAGGAUCUCUCUUGGCAAUGACAUUUUGGCCAGCUGUUCGUGAGGAUAACCGACGCGUUGCAUUGGCCACAAUUGUGACAAUUGUGUUGCUCCAUAUGCUGCUUUCUGUGGGCUGCUUGGUAUG